rnacentral:rRNA from 1 species
GUGACCUGCGGAAAGGAUCAUUG